AUUGAACGCUGGCGGCAUGCCUUACACAUGCAAGUCGAACGGUAACGCGGGGCAACCUGGCGACGAGUGGCGAACGGGUGAGUAAUGUAUCGGAACGUGCCCAGUGGUGGGGGAUAACUGCUCGAAAGAGCAGCUAAUACCGCAUACGACCUGAGGGUGAAAGCGGGGGAUCGCAAAACCUCGCGCAAUUGGAGCGGCCGAUAGCAGAUUAGGUAGUUGGUGGGGUAAAGGCUCACCAAGCCAACGAUCGGUAGCUGGUCUGAGAGGGCGACCGGCCACACGGGGAAUGAGACACGGCCCAGACUCCUACGGGAGGCAGCAGUGGGGAGUUUUGGACAAUGGAGGCAAGUCUGAUCCAGCGAUGCCGCGUGCGGGAAGAAGGCCUUCGGGUUGUAAACCGCUGUUGUCAGGGAAGAAACGCUCUGGGUUAAUACCUCGGGGUAAUGACGGUACCUGAAGAAUAAGCACCGGCUAACUACGUGCCAGCCGCCGCCGUAACAC
rnacentral:rRNA from 1 species